GAGAAUUUAAUUUCUAUGUCUGUGCUAGCACAGAAAGAUUUUGAAAUUAGUUUCAAUAAAAAUUUUUAUUUUAUUUAUUUAUAAAAUAAAUUAGUUGCAUGAGAUCUUUUAAUUGAUAGUCUUUAUCACUUGCAUAUUGAUACGAAUAUGAACCUAAACGAGCAAAUAGUGAGUGCUAUAGGCCAAAAGAGAUCCAGAGAUGAAAUUAACCAGAAGUACUUGUGGCACCAUAGACUAGGCC
rnacentral:lncRNA from 1 species